rnacentral:rRNA from 1 species
GACGAACGCUGGCGGCGUGCCUAAUACAUGCAAGUCGAACGAAGCUGUUUUAACUGGUGCUUGCACCGACUUAAACAACUGAGUGGCGAACGGGUGAGUAACACGUGGGUAACCUGCCCCAAAGCGGGGGAUAACAUUUGGAAACAGAUGCUAAUACCGCAUAACCACAGAAACCACAUGGUUUCUGUGUCAAAGAUGGUUUCGGCUAUCACUUUGGGAUGGACCCGCGGCGUAUUAGCUAGUUGGUAAGGUAAUGGCUUACCAAGGCAACGAUACGUAGCCGAACUGAGAGGUUGAUCGGCCACAUUGGGACUAAGACACGGCCCAAACUCCUACGGGAGGCAGCAGUAGGGAAUCUUCCACAAUGGACGAAAGUCUGAUGGAGCAACGCCGCGUGAGUGAAGAAGGUUUUCGGAUCGUAAAACUCUGUUGUCAGAGAAGAACGUGUGCGAGAGUAACUGUUCGUGCAGUGACGGUAUCUGGCCAGAAAGCCACGGCUAACUACGUGCCAGCAGCCGCCGCAG